rnacentral:lncRNA from 1 species
AUGAAGCUGAUCCUUUCUCUGCCUCUCAUCUGGACGCUCUUCAGCACAGCUGGAGCUCUGGUGUGUCAAACCUGCACAGAUACACGAUGUUCAACCACAGCACCACAAACAUGUUCCACAGAGACCAUGUGUAUUACAGCUUCCAUUCUAGCCACUGCUGCUGGAGCUGCAGCACCUCAGACCUACAAGGCCUGUGCAUCGUCCUCCCUGUGUCCAGCCACUGGCUUUCAGACAUUAUCAGUCAGUUUGGCUGGUUUCCGUGCAAUUUUAUCUGCUCAGUGCUGCAACUCAGACAACUGCAACUCAGAAACUCUACCUACCCCUAUUCCUCAGCCAACUAACACCCUGCAGUGUCUCACCUGUGACGCCACCACCUCUCAGUGCACCAGCUCAGUACAAUGUACAGGAGUGCAGGACAGAUGCUUUAUAGCAACCAGUGAGUUAUUAUGAUACAAAGUUUAACACAUGUCUUCAAAUAUGUUUUAUAACCUCACAACAUUUGAAAUAUUACCUUUAAGGUAAAUCUGAUGUCCUUUUACUCAUAUUUGUACUAAACAUUAUUCUACUUCUAAUCCAUUACAUUUCAGAGAUAAAUAUUGGAAUAUUUUACUGCACUGGAUUUCUAAGACAGCUAUAGUGACUGAUUCAUUUACAGAUCAUUUUACAGAACAAGACAAAAAGUUU